rnacentral:rRNA from 1 species
AACGAACGUUGGCGGCAUGCCUAACACAUGCAAGUCGAACGAGAUCUUCGGGUCUAGUGGCGCACGGGUGCGUAACGCGUGGGAAUCUGCCCUUUGGUUCGGAAUAACAGUUGGAAACGACUGCUAAUACCGGAUGAUGACGAAAGUCCAAAGAUUUAUCGCCAGAGGAUGGGCCCGCGUAGGAUUAGCUAGUUGGUGUGGUAAAGGCGCACCAAGGCGACGAUCCUUAGCUGGUCUGAGAGGAUGAUCAGCCACACUGGGACUGAGACACGGCCCAUACUCCUACGGGAGGCAGCAGUGGGGAAUAUUGGACAAUGGGCGAAAGCCUGAUCCAGCAAUGCCGCGUGAGUGAUGAAGGCCUUAGGGUUGUAAAGCUCUUUUACCCGGGAUGAUAAUGACAGUACCGGGAGAAUAAGCUCCGGCUAACUCCGUGCCAGCCGCCGCGGUAA